UUUGAUAUGUGAAAGUCAAUGUAUGUGGCGUAUGGGUGUGGUGACGAGUACCAAUGCACCACAAAAUUACCAUUUUUGCUUGUUCCCUUCCAUGUUUCCUAGUAUAUUGUUUCUUGUCUUAUAUGCUACUUGCUCAUAAAUAUUUCCAUGUCUAAGUUGCUUCAUUUUAACUGUUGUUUUCUCUAUUGAAGUACAAAUUAUUUCAUAGUUUCAUAGUUUCAUUUUAUUACCUUGUUGGUUGAAGUUGGUUGUUGGUGCUUCAUUGUAUACUUUUGUUGGUCUUGCUGAGUAGUACUAGCUGUUGAAGUUUCAUAAUGGCAUAGACUUCUCAUUGUUAUGAUUUGAGGUAUAAAUUUGUAGAAGGUUUUAAGUUAAAUUGUGAAACACUUGUUCUUGUGUUGUGAUUGGUACUGCUAUGUUGUGAUCUGGUUGCACGCCGCAACAUGAGGAAUAAGUGUGAAAUGUGAAUGGCUAGUGGGAUCGGGUUGCAUGCUGCAAUAAGGAGUAAUAACGGUGGACAGGUGGAUCAGGUUGCAC
rnacentral:lncRNA from 1 species